rnacentral:rRNA from 1 species
GACGAACGCUGGCGGCGUGCUUAACACAUGCAAGUCGAACGAAGAGCGAUGGCAGCUUGCUUCUAUCCAUCUUAGUGGCGAACGGGUGAGUAACGCGUAAUCAACCUGCCCUUCUGGGGGGGACUACAGUUGGAAAGGACUGCUAAUACCGCAUACGAUCUCAUCUCGGCAUCGAGGAUAAAUGAACGGUGGCCUCUACAUGUCAGCUAUCACUGCAGGAGGGGAUUGCGUCUGAUUAGCUAGUUGGCGGGGUAACGGCCCAGCAAGGCGAUGAUCAGUAGCCGGUCUGAGAGGAUGAACGGCCACAUUGGGACUGAGACACGGCCCAGACUCCUACGGGAGGCAGCAGUGGGGAAUCUUCCGCAAUGGACGAAAGUCUGACGGAGCAACGCCGCGUGAGUGAUGACGGCCUUCGGGUUGUAAAGCUCUGUUAAUCGGGACGAAAGGCCUUCUUGCGAAUAGUGAGAAGGAUUGACGGUACCGGAAUAGAAAGCCACGGCUAACUACGUG